rnacentral:tRNA from 1 species
GAGGGUAUGGCUCAGUGGUAGAGUGCAUGCUUAGCAUGAACAAAAUCCUGGGUUCAAUCCCCUGUGCCUCCA